rnacentral:rRNA from 1 species
UGAACGCUGGCGGCGUGCCUACUACAUGCACGUCGAGCGAACGGACGAGAAGCUUGCUUCUCUGAUGUUAGCGGCGGACGGGUGAGUAACACGUGGAUAACCUACCUAUAAGACUGGGAUAACUUCGGGAAACCGUAGCUAAUACCGGAUAAUAUUUUGAACCGCAUGGUUCAAAAGUGAAAGACGGUCUUGCUGUCACUUAUAGAUGGAUCCGCGCUGCAUUAGCUAGUUGGUAAGGUAACGGCUUACCAAGGCAACGAUGCAUAGCCGACCUGAGAGGGUGAUCGGCCACACUGGAACUGAGACACGGUCCAGACUCCUACGGGAGGCAGCAGUAGGGAAUCUUCCGCAAUGGGCGAAAGCCUGACGGAGCAACGCCGCGUGAGUGAUGAAGGUCUUCGGAUCGUAAAACUCUGUUAUUAGGGAAGAACAUAUGUGUAAGUAACUGUGCACAUCUUGACGGUACCUAAUCAGAAAGCCACGGCUAACUACGUG